UCUUAUGUACAUGCCUACAAUGUUAAUGCAUUGAAUCCCAUUAGAACUCUGCACUUAAGUGUGCUUGGGCUAGAGUAGUAUUGGGAUGGGUGACCGCCCUGGAAGUCCUAGUGUUUUACAUGCC
rfam:Picea glauca, whole genome shotgun sequence.